rnacentral:rRNA from 1 species
GACGAACCGUACGAACGUUAUUCGGAAUCACUGGGCUUAAAGGGUGCGUAGGCGGCGCGACAAGUUGGGUGUGAAAUCCCUCGGCUCAACCGAGGAACUGCGCCCAAAACUGUCGUGCUCGAGGGAGACAGAGGUGAGCGGAACUUAGGGUGGAGCGGUGAAAUGCGUUGAUAUCCUAAGGAACACCGGUGGCGAAAGCGGCCCACUGGGUCUCUUCUGACGCUGAGGCACGAAAGCUAGGGUAGCGAACGGG